AGGUGGAAACCGCACCUUCAGUUGUUCUGCUAUAACUUAGGGAGGUGAAGGACAGGGGACUCCUGCCUCAGAACUAGUGAGAUUUGUCUGUCCUUCACUCAAUCUUAGCUGGAGGCCAAGAAGUGAUCUCCUCCUGUCCUCCUCCACUUGCAUUAGGUGAAAGUUUGCCCACAGCAUCUCUCAUGUAUUUGGUAAUCGCUCAGUUUUUCUCACCCUGUGUUAAAACUUGGGAGUUUAGAUAACAGACUUUCUCACUUUCCCAAAGGUCUGAGAGGGAGAACACUAGCAGUUUGAAUACCAUGUGGCAUUUACCCUGCAGUAGGGGUGUGGCAGCACAGAAUGUGGUGGACAGGGCGGAGAUGCUGUGCCUCCGGACAGGAGAGCACCAGAGGAGGCCCUGAGCACGGUUCUGGUCCGGUUUCAGCAGAGCUCGCAGGUCAAUGUCAGCAGGUAGGGUCUGUGUGGACAGGCUGCUCUCUCAGGCAGUGACUGUUUACUCCUGGAGAAGGAGCCCAUGGGUGACAAGACACAUGUGCAGAAAUGUCCUUGUGAUGAUGGGAGGUUUGCAGGCACUUUGGUGCUGUCCUUGAGUGAGUGCGGUUCAGAUCUGAGGUGCUGGGGCCUGUGCUGGGAACUGUACAGACAGAGACAGAGAAACUAUCACCUCAGCAUCCCCAGAGCUCUCAGGCAGGGAAACCAGCAAGCGGUGGGCAGUGACCAUGGGCUCCUUGGACAGGGGAGCUGUUGCUGCGUGGGACUGCAUCGACGUCUGUGUUGAUUCUCCAUCUGGCUUCUCCCACAGCUGCAACACCUGUCUGAAGUUGGUAAUGACUGUGACCUCUCAGAAUAUCAUCACUUCCUGGGCUCAAGGUUGGCUGAAAGCCACUCGCAUUGCUCAAGUCUGAGGUUGAAGGUGACCUCACCAGUGUUCCCUGACUGUGUUUCCGUCAGCUGCAGAAAUGAAGAGGAAGGUGAGUCCUUUGCCCAUGCAGCCUGCCGAGAAACAUGGCUGUGACUCCGGAAAGAAAGAAAACAGAUCCCAGUUCCUUGGAUGUACAUCUACUGCUACCGAGGUCACCAUGGCAGUACCACUCAGCCCCAGUCCAGGGGCUGAAGUGAAUGUUGUGGAGUUCAAGGAGUAUAAGUGCUCUUGGGUGGGAGAGAAUGAACUGCAAUUUGAAGACUGCAGAUCAAGUUCUGUUAGACCUGAAGCAGCUGUUGGCUCUCUGGACACCAAAGUGCAGAAAUGUGGAGGUGUAAAGUACAAAGAUGAUGUGGAGUCUCUGCUUGGGGAGAAGCCGCAGCCCAAAGAGCAGGAGCUGUCCGCAGAGCUUCCCCUGACCGAGCAGCUCAGGGUGUCCACGUUGCUCAUUCGAGAGCAGAAAUGGGAGCUCUCUGAGUUAACCAAGAAGCUGAAAGAAGGGAGAGCAGUGUCAUUGCUGCUGAAGGAGUCUCUGGAGGUCCACCUCAGUCGAGGUCACCCUGACAACGAGCACAGCUGGCGACAGGGACUGGCUGCAGGGUGCAGGCUGGCAGAGCAGCUCGUCCACAUGCUCAACCUAGAGAUUCCAGAACAGGAGGAGGAUGGAAAAGAACAGCUGUUGCUGGGCCCCAGUGUGAGUGCAGAGGGCCUGCAGCGGGAGGAGGAAGAAGACCAUUUGACUCCCUCUGGCGGGUCUGAGCCUGGUGAGACCCAGCAGCCUCCCUGCACCACUGCUGCCCUGGUAGAUGAGGUAGAGACCCCUUCUCCAGGUGCCUCCGAAAAUCAAAAUCACCCUGAGGACGAGGACACCCUGGAGCCAGAAUCGCCCAGGGUUAUAAUUGAAGAUCUGGCCUUGGAUUUGAAGCCUAUAGAGCAGUUUCAGAGAUGGAGGGACAUAAUCUUCUACCUGCGACUGAGUCUGAAGGACAUGCUGACCCCAGAUGGACCUGUGAGCCACCAGGAACAACAUGCAGAGAGGCGCAGGCUGGCCAAGAGCCCUCGCCCUCCAGCUCAGCCCAGAGCAGCACUGCAAUGGGGAUGA
rnacentral:lncRNA from 1 species